rnacentral:rRNA from 1 species
GGUUAAGCGACUAAGCGUACACGGUGGAUGCCCUGGCAGUCAGAGGCGAUGAAGGACGUGCUAAUCUGCGAUAAGCGUCGGUAAGGUGAUAUGAACCGUUAUAACCGGCGAUUUCCGAAUGGGGAAACCCAGUGUGAUUCGUCACACUAUCAUUAACUGAAUCCAUAGGUUAAUGAGGCGAACCGGGGGAACUGAAACAUCUAAGUACCCCGAGGAAAAGAAAUCAACCGAGAUUCCCCCAGUAGCGGCGAGCGAACGGGGAGCAGCCCAGAGCCUGAAUCAGUGUGUGUGUUAGUGGAAGCGUCUGGAAAGGCGCGCGAUACAGGGUGACAGCCCCGUACACAAAAAUGCACAUGCUGUGAGCUCGAUGAGUAGGGCGGGACACGUGGUAUCCUGUCUGAAUAUGGGGGGACCAUCCUCCAAGGCUAAAUACUCCUGACUGACCGAUAGUGAACCAGUACCGUGAGGGAAAGGCGAAAAGAACCCCGGCGAGGGGAGUGAAAAAGAACCUGAAACCGUGUACGUACAAGCAGUGGGAGCCUCUUUAUGGGGUGACUGCGUACCUUUUGUAUAAUGGGUCAGCGACUUAUAUUCUGUAGCAAGGUUAACCGAAUAGGGGAGCCGAAGGGAAACCGAGUCUUAACUGGGCGUUAAGUUGCAGGGUAUAGACCCGAAACCCGGUGAUCUAGCCAUGGGCAGGUUGAAGGUUGGGUAACACUAACUGGAGGACCGAACCGACUAAUGUUGAAAAAUUAGCGGAUGACUUGUGGCUGGGGGUGAAAGGCCAAUCAAACCGGGAGAUAGCUGGUUCUCCCCGAAAGCUAUUUAGGUAGCGCCUCGUGAAUUCAUCUCCGGGGGUAGAGCACUGUUUCGGCAAGGGGGUCAUCCCGACUUACCAACCCGAUGCAAACUGCGAAUACCGGAGAAUGUUAUCACGGGAGACACACGGCGGGUGCUAACGUCCGUCGUGAAGAGGGAAACAACCCAGACCGCCAGCUAAGGUCCCAAAGUCAUGGUUAAGUGGGAAACGAUGUGGGAAGGCCCAGACAGCCAGGAUGUUGGCUUAGAAGCAGCCAUCAUUUAAAGAAAGCGUAAUAGCUCACUGGUCGAGUCGGCCUGCGCGGAAGAUGUAACGGGGCUAAACCAUGCACCGAAGCUGCGGCAGCGACGCUUAUGCGUUGUUGGGUAGGGGAGCGUUCUGUAAGCCUGUGAAGGUGUACUGUGAGGUAUGCUGGAGGUAUCAGAAGUGCGAAUGCUGACAUAAGUAACGAUAAAGCGGGUGAAAAGCCCGCUCGCCGGAAGACCAAGGGUUCCUGUCCAACGUUAAUCGGGGCAGGGUGAGUCGACCCCUAAGGCGAGGCCGAAAGGCGUAGUCGAUGGGAAACAGGUUAAUAUUCCUGUACUUGGUGUUACUGCGAAGGGGGGACGGAGAAGGCUAUGUUGGCCGGGCGACGGUUGUCCCGGUUUAAGCGUGUAGGCUGGUUUUCCAGGCAAAUCCGGAAAAUCAAGGCUGAGGCGUGAUGACGAGGCACUACGGUGCUGAAGCAACAAAUGCCCUGCUUCCAGGAAAAGCCUCUAAGCAUCAGGUAACAUCAAAUCGUACCCCAAACCGACACAGGUGGUCAGGUAGAGAAUACCAAGGCGCUUGAGAGAACUCGGGUGAAGGAACUAGGCAAAAUGGUGCCGUAACUUCGGGAGAAGGCACGCUGAUAUGUAGGUGAAGCGACUUGCUCGUGGAGCUGAAAUCAGUCGAAGAUACCAGCUGGCUGCAACUGUUUAUUAAAAACACAGCACUGUGCAAACACGAAAGUGGACGUAUACGGUGUGACGCCUGCCCGGUGCCGGAAGGUUAAUUGAUGGGGUCAGCGCAAGCGAAGCUCUUGAUCGAAGCCCCGGUAAACGGCGGCCGUAACUAUAACGGUCCUAAGGUAGCGAAAUUCCUUGUCGGGUAAGUUCCGACCUGCACGAAUGGCGUAAUGAUGGCCAGGCUGUCUCCACCCGAGACUCAGUGAAAUUGAACUCGCUGUGAAGAUGCAGUGUACCCGCGGCAAGACGGAAAGACCCCGUGAACCUUUACUAUAGCUUGACACUGAACAUUGAGCCUUGAUGUGUAGGAUAGGUGGGAGGCUUUGAAGUGUGGACGCCAGUCUGCAUGGAGCCGACCUUGAAAUACCACCCUUUAAUGUUUGAUGUUCUAACGUGGACCCGUAAUCCGGGUUGCGGACAGUGUCUGGUGGGUAGUUUGACUGGGGCGGUCUCCUCCUAAAGAGUAACGGAGGAGCACGAAGGUUGGCUAAUCCUGGUCGGACAUCAGGAGGUUAGUGCAAUGGCAUAAGCCAGCUUGACUGCGAGCGUGACGGCGCGAGCAGGUGCGAAAGCAGGUCAUAGUGAUCCGGUGGUUCUGAAUGGAAGGGCCAUCGCUCAACGGAUAAAAGGUACUCCGGGGAUAACAGGCUGAUACCGCCCAAGAGUUCAUAUCGACGGCGGUGUUUGGCACCUCGAUGUCGGCUCAUCACAUCCUGGGGCUGAAGUAGGUCCCAAGGGUAUGGCUGUUCGCCAUUUAAAGUGGUACGCGAGCUGGGUUUAGAACGUCGUGAGACAGUUCGGUCCCUAUCUGCCGUGGGCGCUGGAGAACUGAGGGGGGCUGCUCCUAGUACGAGAGGACCGGAGUGGACGCAUCACUGGUGUUCGGGUUGUCAUGCCAAUGGCACUGCCCGGUAGCUAAAUGCGGAAGAGAUAAGUGCUGAAAGCAUCUAAGCACGAAACUUGCCCCGAGAUGAGUUCUCCCUGACUCCUUGAGAGUCCUGAAGGAACGUUGAAGACGACGACGUUGAUAGGCCGGGUGUGUAAGCGCAGCGAUGCGUUGAGCUAACCGGUACUAAUGAACCGUGAGGCUUAACCUU